UACGGAGGAUGCAAGCGUUAUCCGGAAUGAUUGGGCGUAAAGCGUCCGCAGGUGGCGAUGUAAGUCUGCUGUUAAAGAGUCUAGCUCAACUAGAUAAGAGCAGUGGAAACUACAUAGCUAGAGUACGUUCGGGGCAGAGGGAAUUCCUGGUGUAGCGGUGAAAUGCGCAGAUAUCAGGAGGAACACCGGUGGCGAAGGCGGCAUCCUGGACCAACACUGACGCUGAGGAGCGAAAGCCAGGGGAGCAAACGGG
rnacentral:rRNA from 1 species